ensembl:lncRNA
AAAUCAUGUGGAAACCCGCUCAUUGGACUCUGGGAUGUAGGUGUAUGAUGUGGCGACGCAGGCUAGUCAGAUGUGAAGCUUAGGCAGGGGAGCCAGAAAGGCCUCUAGCAGAGAAUGUCAACAGUGUAAUCACAUGCCGCUCCCCCCAUGGAUUUACAAAAAACGAACAGCAUCCCCUCUGCGUUAUCCUGUCACCGCAGCGCAACACAUGGGGCUGGCUUUGGCGCUGCUUUCCGGCAGGCUAGGACCAACGGACCAUCACAGCCCUCCCUGGACAUACGGGCCAAUGAAAGCCGUCCCUGGACCAACGGAACAAUGACAGAGCUCCCUGGACUAACGGACCAAUGAAAGCCCUCCCUGGACCAACGGACCAAUGACAGAGCUCCCUGGCCCAGGUUGAAGGUGCUCUUUACAC